GUGUGUGUACUGUACAGUGCUCUGUGUGUAUGUGUGUGUACUGUACAGUGCUGUGUGUGUGUACUGUACAGUGCUCUGUGUGUGUGUAUGUGUGUGUACUGUACAGUGCUGUGUGUGUGUGUGUGUGUGUGUGUGUGUGUGUGUACUGUACAGUGCUGUGUGUGUGUGCGCGUGUACUGUACAGUGCUGUGUGUCUGCGCGUGCAUGUGUGUACAUGUAUGUGUGCGUGUGUGUGUACUGUACAGUGCUGUGUGUGUGUACAUGUGUAUGUGUGUGUGUGUGUGCGUGUACUGUACAGUGCUGUGUGUGUGUGUGUGUGUGUGUGUGUACUGUACAGUGCUGUGUGUGUACAUGUGUGUGUGUGUGCGUGUACUGUACAGUGCUGUGUGUGUGUGUGUGUGUGUGUGCGCGUGCGUGCGUGUGUGUGUGGUCCGCUGCAUUACCAAGUGAUAUGAACGUUACCUGGGUUACCUGUGCGACUGGCUGUGUGUGGAACGUCUCCCCGCGUGCCACAGGAAACACACCCGCUCUGAAACACAUCUUUUUGUUCACCCGUUUGCUCUGUGGAAGUGAGAUUUUGGGCGUUAUUCCCAUUAUUCCUGUUAUUCCCAUUAUUCCUGUUAUUCCCGGAGCCCUGGAAUACCCCAGCGCCCCGCGAGCCAGCGGCUUUUGUUUUUGAAAUCGGAAAAUGGGAAUUUAGUGCUGAACUAACGCUUAGCGCUACAUUAACUCACCAAUCAGGGCUUUUCAUUGCCAAACUCACUCUGCCUCAUGCUCACUACCUUUGUGUUCCGCCAUUUCAUGCUCGUCUGAGUCUGUAAACACAAAAGCAUUCUGAUGAGCCACCCACCGUCCAUGUAGUCAGAGAUCAUGUGUUCUGAUGCAAUAUUAUACAAAUACCUGGAAUCUACCUGUCAAUUAAUGGAGGUUUUUAAGAUGGCUGCAAGGUUGUAGACGUGGUUUCCUAUUUAUAUCUGUUUAUAUCAUUGUUCUUUUAUAUUUUCCUGGAUUUUGAUAAUGUAUUUUUGUGUUUUAAUGUACAUCAGUUUGAGUUCACUAACUAGUGUUACCUGCUUGCUUGUCUGGAGUAAAUGUUAUUUUACUAUAAGACACCAGAUGUACCCCUCCCUUUACUGCCUGUCUUUAUCACAGACCUCUUUACACAGUAAUGCUUUUUAUUUUAUUAUAAAAUCAAGCAAAGUGUCAUUGUAAAAAUAAUGAAAUAAGAUGUAAAGACAUCUAAUGCUUAGAUAACACUUUGGAAUUAGCGGGAAAAUAGUAGUACCUUAAGGCCUUCUUCCAGUGCGUUUAGAGAUUGGCGAGUCACCCUGUCCAUCAUUAAAGCCACACCUCUUAUGUAUACAAGCCACAUGGCCAGAUGACACAGGCCAGGUUGUGAUUGGCUAGUUCUGUUGGUGGUGGAGCCAGACUGGGACUUUACCCUGGAAACGGGUGUAAUCCUCAUCUUUACCAAGAGCACAGUGUUCACGCCGCGCUGUAACUGGAACAUAACCGGCCCUGUCCGUAAUGCAGUGAAUAAUUACCCGACAUUGUUCCGGAAGGUGUGUAAACCUUUGGUGUCUUUGGCAGCGCGUUAUUGCAGAUGGCCGACAGGAGACUUUGUACAGCACAGUAUGCCCUGUGUGUCCUGCCCCACACCAGCGGCUGUUUGAGUUAUUACUGCCGUUCUUGAAGUGUUUAAUAGCGGAGAGCAUGUUACUCUCAUUAUUGUGUGUUUGCCUCAGGGACCCAUUUCUGAGACGGCUGCUGAUUUGUCACCCAGAGACAGGAGAGUGCUGCUCUGAUUGGUCACUCAGAGACAGGAGAGUGCUGCUCUGAUUGGUCACCCAGAGACAGGAGAGUGCUGCUCUGAUUGGUCACCCGGAGACAGGAGAGUGCUGCUCUGAUUGGUCACCUGGAGACAGGAGGGUGCUGCUCUGAUUGGUCACCCAGAGACAGGAGAGUGCUGCUCUGAUUGGUCACCUGGAGACAGGAGGGUGCUGCUCUGAUUGGUCACCCAGAGACAGGAGAGUGCUGCUCUGAUUGGUCACCUGGAGACAGGAGAGUGCUGCUCUGAUUGGUCACCCAGAGACAGGAGAGUGCUGCUCUGAUUGGUCACCCAGAGACAGGAGAGUGCUGCUCUUCCACACUUGUCCACAUGGCAUGUUUCACUGUGGUUACUCUGCAUGGAUCUCAGGUCCAGGUCAGUGAGACACUGUGGAUCCUCCCAGUGGAUCUCAGGUCCAGGUGUCACACAGUGGAUCCUCCCAGUGGAUCUCAGGUCCAGGUGUCACACAGUGGAUCCUCUCAGUGGAUCUCAGGUCCAGGUGUGAUACAGUGGAUCCUCUCAGUGGAUCUCAGGUCCAGGUGUGAUACAGUGGAUCCUCUCAGUGGAUCUCAGGUCCAGGUGUGACACAGUAAGGGACAUGUUCACAGCCUGGUGUAGAAAGAGCAGAGGGAGAGGUCCUUAUGCGUGUGAAAUCAGUAGCUUUGCACGAAUAACCUGGAAUGACAAGUGAUUUGACCACCAAGAGUUUAAAAUGAACUUUCUUCACUGGUGGAGUCUGGAACAUCAGUCUAAAGCGAAGAGAAGGUUGUGUUGGGUGGGUGGGGGAGUUUUAGUCCCAGUCCCUCAUUCAGAUCAUUCACCAGCGCCUUCACCACGGGGCCGUGUGACUGAAUCAGUGUCAGACAUUUUCCUUUUGUUUGUUUAUUUUGCUGCUUCCAACAUCAUCUGUGAAACGUCUCCAUGCGCUUGGUUAGGUAGAGACCUGCUGAUGUAGUAAUGCAUAUACAGUAUAUAUGUAUUUGUGUAUAUGAAUAUAAGUACUGCCCCAUUCUUACCAACCUGUAAACCCUGUGCCAUUGAGGUAUUUUAUUUUUUAUGUUUAUUUUUGUUUUUGUUUUUGAUGGGGGGAGUAGGUAAAGUAUUGUCCUUCAUGUUUAAACUGGAAUCUCAGACAUGCAGUGUCUGUAAUGUGCAUGUUGUGUGGAUAACGAUAACUUCUGUGCCAUAAGGUUAUUCCACUGCCAAUGAAGCUGAUGUAUUAUGCGUGUGUAAGAUUAGCAGGUAUGAGUCCAUGAUGUUCAACACAAACACGUAGAGCUGGGGGGUCAGACUCCAAUCCUGGGAGGACUGGAGUUGAACCUGCAGACACAGUGCCCCCACUAGGACUGGAGCUAAACCUGCAGACACUGCGGCCCUCCAGGACUGGAGUUAAACCUGCAGACACUGAGGCCCUCCAGGACUGGAGUUAAACCUGCAGACACUGCGGCCCUCCAGGACUGGAGCUAAACCUGCAGACACUGCGGCCCUCCAGGACUGGAGUUAAACCUGCAGACACUGCGGCCCUCCAGGACUGGAGUUAAACCUGCAGACACUGCGCCCCCUCCAGGACUGGAGUUAAACCUGCAGACACUGUGGCCCUCCAGGACUGGAGUUUGACCCUCCUGAUGUAGAGUGUUUGCCCUUCAUGAGCUCAGUCCGUUAGACCAGGCUCUCUGUAACAGCUGAAAUAGAAAGCAGUCCUGUACCAGGCAGUUCCUGAAGGGGGCAGUGCGCUCUGUCUGCUCUGGCUCCAGGUAAAGCAGGGUAAUUAUGGACACUGAGCCUGAUGGCGCCCCCUGCUGCUGAUAAUUAUGACAUGCAUAAUUGUGCAGUGCUCUGUUCCUCUGUUCCCCUCCAUCUCUGUAUCUCUCUCUCUCUCUCUCUCUCUCUCUCUCUCUCUCUCUCCAUAUAUCUCCCUCUCUCUGUGUCUGUUUGUCCUCUCUCUUUCUGUCUGUCCUCUCUCUCCCUCCCUCUCUCUCAUCCUUUCUCUCCCUCCCUCCCUCUCUCUCCCUCUCUCUGUCCAUAGGUGCCUGUGAAACUAUGUUGGGCCAGUCGCUCUGGCCUUCUGUGUAACUUUUCAGUUUGAAAAUCUAUAUUUUUUUGCAUAAGCAUUUGCAUAAUGUACUUCAAUAAAUGAUAUGUUUUGUUUGGUUA